CGCGUAGGCGGUUUGGUCAGUCAGAUGUGAAAGCCCUGGGCUCAACCUGGGAACUGCAUUUGAUACUGCCAAACUAGAGUGUGGUAGAGGUAAGUGGAAUUUCAGGUGUAGCGGUGAAAUGCGUAGAGAUCUGAAGGAACAUCAGUGGCGAAGGCGGCUUACUGGACCAACACUGACGCUGAGGUGCGAAAGCGUGGGUAGCAAACAGGAUUAGAUACCCUGGUAGUCC
rnacentral:rRNA from 1 species